rnacentral:rRNA from 1 species
UACGUAGGGGGCAAGCGUUGUCCGGAUUUAUUGGGCGUAAAGAGCUCGUAGGCGGUUUGUUGCGUCGGCUGUGAAAUCCCGAGGCUCAACCUCGGGUCUGCAGUCGAUACGAGCAAACUAGAGUGUUGCAGGGGAGACUGGAAUUCCUGGUGUAGCGGUGAAAUGCGCAGAUAUCAGGAGGAACACCGGUGGCGAAGGCGGCACUCUGGGCCGGUACUGACGCUGAGGAGCGAAAGCGUGGGGAGCGAACAGG